GGGACCGCACGGGGGCGGGGCCUGCUGGGGACUGGUGGGCACCGGAGCCCCGGGACCCGGGGCUGGACCUUGGACGCGUGACGGGAGUUUCUGCCUGUAAGACCACUUGAGAGCAGCCCCUCACCUUUAUCUCUCCAACCUGUGGCAUCUGGAGAACGUUGAUGACCAUACCAAGAAAAAAGCAAACUUUGGAGAGGUAUGCACACAAAAGACUGAAAAGAAGAACUUGAACAAAUCCUUGUAUGAGAAUGUUCACAGCAGCACUAUUCACAGCAGCCAAAAGAUGGAAAUAAUCCAAAUGUCCAUCAACGGAUAAGUGAGCUUAAGGUACUGUGAUCGAGCUUUCACGGAAAUCAGGAAGAUUCUGAGAGAAUCCAAAUGUGACCAUCUGGGAGAGUUAAGAGAAGAAAAUACACCAUGUGGAGAGACAAGGAAUGCCACUCCUGGAAUUCCAAAUGGACAGAAGGAGAGAGCUUCCUCUCAUCUUUGGGAAAAUCCUAUCUACAUCGCAUAAAUGUCCCGUACCCCACCCUGGAAGAGGCUAAUCAGGGGCACCUCCUCAUGUGUGCCAGAUAUUAGAAGACUUUACAGACUCCAUUGCGGCAGAAGGCUGUGUGCAUGUUCACUCCAGUGAGUCACAAAGACACAUUCCCAGGUGUGCACCUGGCCAAAAGCACAGAAGAGGAAGUUGCACAUGUGACCAUCCUCUGCCAACCAGCCCACGUGUACAGCAGAAAUCAGUAUUGUUUGCUUCUGUAAUAAAAUCAUUGCAUAAAUUUUG